GAUGAACGCUAGCUACAGGCUUAACACAUGCAAGUCGAGGGGUAACGAUAUUGGAAGCUUGCUUCCGAUAGGCGUCGACCGGCGCACGGGUGAGUAACGCGUAUCCAACCGGCCCAUCACUUGGGGGUAACCUUGCGAAAGUAAGACUAAUACCCAAUGAUAUCUCUAGAAGACAUCUGAAAGGGAUUAAAGAUUUAUCGGUGAUGGAUGGGGAUGCGUCUGAUUAGCUUGUUGGCGGGGUAACGGCCCACCAAGGCGACGAUCAGUAGGGGUUCUGAGGGGAAGGUCCCCCACAGUGGAACUGAGACACGGUCCAAACUCCUACGGGAGGCAGCAGUGAGGAAUAUUGGGCAAUGGACGAGAGUCUGAACCAGCCAAGUAGCGUGCAGGAUGGCGGCCCUAUGGGUUGUAAACUGCUUUUAUAAGGGAAUAAAGUGAGCCUCGUGAGGCUUUUUGCAUGUACCUUAUGAAUAAGGACCGGCUAAUUCCGUGCCAGCCGCCGCAGUAA
rnacentral:rRNA from 1 species